rnacentral:tRNA from 1 species
UUUUAAGUGGCAGAAUGAUUAUGCGUUAGUUUUAAGCACUAAAAAUAGAUAUACCCCCUCUUUCCUCCAAA